UGGACGGUCGCGAUUAGUGGGUUUGGUUCCAACGGCAAGAUCCAGCAAGCAAAGAGUCUUGUUUGACUCGAUGCUAGAGUGGAAUCUCGUCGCCAUAAAUGGGCAUUUCUCCAGAAGGAAGGCUAUCUCGCGAGCUUACGCUCAGGAAUCAACGAUGGUAGCGGCAUUUGGCCAGGAUCCUCUUCUUCUGGGCGAAACGAGAGAUCUCUUUGAUCGCAUGCCGGAGCACAACAUUGUGUCAUGGCCAGUGAUGCCGACGUCAUACGGUCGCGCUGGACACGUCACUCAAGCACAGGGCAUCUUUCAUCAAAUGCCUGGACGAGACCUGGCAGCGUGGAAUGCCAUGCUGGCAGCAUUGCCCAAGAUGGGCAAACCUUACACGUAAUUAACUUGUUUGGGCAAAUGCCUGUGCACGACGUAGGAUCCAUGUCAGUCAUGGUAGACACGCUGGCACGGUGUGGAAGCUUGAGGAAGCAAAGGAAAUAUUUGAUCAGUCCGCGCUCGGUACAGGCUACUAAAUGAUGCAAAUGCCUGUGCACGACGUAGGAUCCAUGUCAGUCAUGGUAGACACGCUGGCACGGUGUGGAAAGCUUGAGGAAGCAAAGGAAAUAUUUGAU
rnacentral:lncRNA from 1 species